GGGUAAAUUAAAAAAAACGAAACAAGAAUACAGGCUGAUCUGAGUACAUCGCAAAAGGGAGGGACCAACAUUGAAAAUAAACCCUCACCGCCAAAACGCGCGGGUCAUCAGGGUCAGGAAUUGGGUCGGUCGGGUCUAGCUUUGAACGCAGUCGUUUUGGAGCCAUUAGUUUGGCUUAAAACGAUGACGUCUGGAAGCCCUUUAUGACCACCGAAAGAAACCCUAAAAGGGUCUACAGCCAUCUUCAAAGGGUGAGAAAAAAAAGAACUAGGGUGCCCUCACCCUUCGCCGUUCACUGGUCUUUCGAAGGCCUAUUCUCCUGCCUCUCCUUUUGACUCAUUCGAGAGUCAAUCAAGGCUUCAUCGAAUCGAAAGACUCACGCGUCUUGCUCAUAAACCCCGAAUCGCCACUCGAUUUCGAUCAUGGCGAAGCAAGCAAGGGUUCGAAGGCAUCAAACGCAGGUGUGGGUGUGCUGGCGCUCGGGUACGGGUGGUGCGUGAAGGCCGUACGGAGGUGCGCAGGGGGCCGUACGGAGGCGCGGGCAUGGCUGCUGGAGGGUACUGAGCGUAUGGCGCAAGGAAGGGGGACGACUUAGGGUUUCUGAAACCUGUUAAGGAUAUGGGUUUAUUGGGCCUGUUCUUGUAGUUGGGCUAUCGUUUGGGCCUCUGGGGUAUUGGGUUAGGUUUUAACUAUUAGAUUUUAAUUGGGUCUUGGGUUAUGUUUUGGGUUUGUAUAUGGUACUUGGGGCAUCGGGCCCAUUGUAUUUAGUUUUGGGUAAUGGACUGUAAAAAAGGACUGUUUAUAAUAUCUGUUGGGUUUUUAAUAUAUAUAUUUAUUUAUUGUUAUA